GAUGGGGAUAGCUAUUAGAAAUAGUAGAUAAUACCGAAUACGAGCACAGGGGUAGAGAUCUGUGAGGAAAGGAGCUAAGGCUCCGCUGAAGGAAUGGCCUGCGGCCCAUUAGCUAGUUGGUGGAGGUAAGAGCCCACCAAGGCGAUGAUGGGUAUCCGGCCUUAGAGGGUGAACGGACACAUUGGGACUGAGAUACCGGCCCAGACUCCGUACGGGAGGCAGCAGCUAAGAAUAUUCCGCAAUGGACGAAAGUCUGACGGAGCGACGCCGCGGUGGAUGAAGAAGGCCGGAAGGUUGUAAAAAUCCUUUUGAAACUGAAGAAUAAGCGUUGUAGGGAAUGACAGCGUGGUGACAGUAGGUUUUGAAUAAGCAACGGCUAAUUACGUGCCAGCCGCCGC
rnacentral:rRNA from 1 species